UCUAAUACCGGAUACGACCKGCGGCAUCUGCUCGSGGGGUGGAAAGCUCCGGCGGUGCAGGAUGAGCCCGCGGCCUAUCAGCUUGUUGGUGGGGUGAUGGCCUACCAAGGCGACGACGGG
rnacentral:rRNA from 1 species